ACCUGACCUCAGUAGACCACAAUAGAAACAUGACCUCAGUAGACCACAAUAGAAACAUGACCUCAGUAGACCACAAUAUAAACCUGACCUUGGUAGACCUAAGCACAUCCAACAACCUUUCAACUCUUAAAGAGUAAAGGAGGAACCGUUCUCCACUCAUGAACACAAACAAAGUCUACGGACCCUCUUUGUUCCGCUCAGCCUCCAGAUGAUCCAGGUCUAGGACCUUCUCACAGAUCCAGUGGUGCAGUCUGUUACACGGCUCUUCAGACCAGCCGUCCUCCCCUGCUACGACACAGUCUCUUGCUCCGCCGUCAUCGCGUGGUUUAACGUGUCUCCAACUGAGAACCACGAGGAGGAGACAGUGGAGGUCAGUCUGUCACUCUCAGAGAAGAGAUGCUGCUGAACAGAGUCUUCAGCCUUACCUUGAGGUCAUGGGGGUACCAUCCACCCACUUGAGGGACCCCUCUUUCUCUCGAUCACUCAGUCCAAUCCAGGAAGAACCCAUCAAUCUGCUGACAAACCUGGAAACCUGGUUCUAAAGGUAAAUGCAUCUGUUGUCAUGACCACAAAGUACACACACACACACACACACACACACACACACACACACACACACACACACACACACACACACACACACACACACACACACACACACACACACACACACACACACACACACACACACACACACACCAGUUCUUCUCUG